UACGAAGGGUGCAAGCGUUGCUCGGAAUUACUGGGCGUAAAGCGCACGUAGGCGGAUCGAUCAGUCAGGGGUGAAAUCCCAGAGCUCAACUCUGGAACUGCCUUUGAUACUGUCGAUCUGGAGUAUGGAAGAGGUGAGUGGAAUUCCGAGUGUAGAGGUGAAAUUCGUAGAUAUUCGGAAGAACACCAGUGGCGAAGGCGACUCGCUGGACAGACAUUGACGCUGAGGUGCGAAAGCGUGGGGAGCAAACAGG
rnacentral:rRNA from 1 species